GGGCCAGACUCCUACGGGAGGCAGCAGUGGGGAAUAUUGCACAAUGGGGGAAACCCUGAUGCAGCGACGCCGCGUGAGUGAAGAAGUAUUUCGGUAUGUAAAGCUCUAUCAGCAGGGAAGAAAAUGACGGUACCUGACUAAGAAGCCCCGGCUAACUACGUGCCAGCAGCCGCGGUAAUACGUAGGGGGCAAGCGUUAUCCGGAUUUACUGGGUGUAAAGGGAGCGUAGGUGGCAUGGUAAGCCAGAAGUGAAAACCCGGGGCUCAACCCCGCGGAUUGCUUUUGGAACUAUCAGGCUGGAGUGCUGGAGGGGUAAGCGGAAUUCCUAGUGUAGCGGUGAAAUGCGUAGAUAUUAGGAGGAACACCAGUGGCGAAGGCGGCCUGCUGGGCUUUUACUGACGCUGAGGCUCGAAAGUGUGGGGAGCAAACAGGAUUAGAUACCCCCGUAG
rnacentral:rRNA from 1 species